rnacentral:rRNA from 1 species
GAUGAACGCUGGCGGCGUGCCUAAUACAUGCAAGUCGAGCGAACGGACGAGAAGCUUGCUUCUCUGAUGUUAGCGGCGGACGGGUGAGUAACACGUGGAUAACCUACCUAUAAGACUGGGAUAACUUCGGGAAACCGGAGCUAAUACCGGAUAAUAUUUUGAACCGCAUGGUUCAAAAGUGAAAGACGGUCUUGCUGUCACUUAUAGAUGGAUCUGCGCUGCAUUAGCUAGUUGGUAAGGUAACGGCUUACCAAGGCAACGAUGCAUAGCCGACCUGAGAGAGUGAUCGGCCACACUGGAACUGAGACACGGUCCAGACUCCUACGGGAGGCAGCAGUAGGGAAUCUUCCGCAAUGGGCGAAAGCCUGACGGAGCAACGCCGCGUGAGUGAUGAAGGUCUUCGGAUCGUAAAACUCUGUUAUUAGGGAAGAACAUAUGUGUAAGUAACUGUGCACAUCUUGACGGUACCUAAUCAGAAAGCCACGGCUAACUACGUG